CUGGGAGCUCAGGCUGCUGACUGUCUCACGUGGUCUGGGGGCUCUGAACCACUGGGCAGGUGGCCACUGACAUGGGCUGACGUUUGGAAAGUUUGUGAUUCAUACAACGACUGUGUACGUUUAAAGCAAACCAUGGAAAAGAAAAAGAAAAGCAAGCUGUGUUUUAAUGCUGGCAUGGUCCUGGAGCAAACGAGACAUGGAGGGCAGUGUGGUGAGGUGACCGCAGGGUUCCCUGCCCAGGGGGAACCCUCUGUGGAUUUGCCACAUCCGCAGAGGCCCUGCGGGUCAGUCUUCCGGAGAAGUUCUGUUACUGAGAGGCCCGGCCAUUAGACCAUGACUGUUUCUGCCUGUCAGCAUCUGAGCCCAUUUUACAUUUGCUUAGGAUUUUAUAGAUUUCAGUGUGAUUAAGUUCUUGCCGUUUUAAGUGACAUCACAAAAGCUCAACUGUUUACUCAGAA